ensembl:lncRNA
UAGGUGUUCACUAAAUGAUACUUCCUAUUAUUAUAGUGACUACCAUUUUAGUUUUUUCAGAUGAAAGUGUUAGGUCACCUGGAACCUGUCAGGGUGAACUAUUCAACACACAGCCUUUUUGAUCUGUGACAGAUCUAUUUGCCAAUUUCAGUCUUUCCACUGCCAGCCAUCCAGAUCUUACCAGGCUUCUCUGUUUUGCCAGACCUGUCUGGUUCCUUGGGAAGUUUCCCGUGCCCACCUGAUGGGAAUCAGGCAGCAUGAGAAGCAGGGCCAGCUGCAGCAGAGGUAAUAUCAGGAACAACUGGGCCACAAGCACUGUCCUUAGCUGCUCCAGAAUGAUUGGAAGGAAGUGUGCAUUGGAAGGAUGUCGCAAGGCACAGAGGAAUGGUGGUGCUGUGGAGCAGGCAACUAACUAGGCCAUUAUUACCUCUGGGGCCAGAGUUGGGGGUCAGGGGUUUGUGUUGACACCUGCUUGUGUUCACAGAGAAUAACAUAAAUGGAGAAACGGUGGCCUUAGCACUCACUUAAGGAAGAAGUAACUUUGAUAAGAACCAGGUGGGUCUCUUUCUCCUUAUUGGUUUCAUGUUUUUCAGAUCUAACUCUCUCCAGCUGUGCCCUGCCAGGGGCACCUGUUUGAGACCCUUUGUGUUGUGAUGCUCCAAGUUACUGCAUGAGUCCUGGGCUCUUCCCUUUCGAGACUCCCAUGGUGCUCUCUGGGGACUAGUCUUUGUGGCAAAGGCCUUUGUCUGGGGGACGCCUCUUUGCUCAUUCUAGGGCCCGGUGUCGCAUGCCAUCUUUUCAUCUUCAUUUUUUCAACUUUAGUCAGGGCUGUAUCUUUGAAACACAUGUGCAUCCACCCUUAGAUAGUUUAUCAUUAACUGCAAAUAACUUCAGAUAGACUUCAGGGUAGUUAUUUACAUUAUUAUAAAGGAUUCCUCAGUUUGAAGUAUUCGCUAUGGCUGCUAUUAAGUAGAGAAAUUCUCUGGUGUAUUUGAGUGUGUAUACAGAUCAAUAACAGCUUGAAAGAGGUUUGGUUCAUUGCUAAAGAACUUUUAGCUAAAGGUGCAGAUGCGAUCAGAAAUAGAGAUAUAAACGCAUAACAGUUACUGAAAUUUGUUUAGUCCUCUAGCUUUGCAAAGCUCAUCACACAUUUUCUCUUGUGAUAUAUGAGAUCUCCAGCCCUGAUCCUUUGCAGGAUGGAAACACUGCCACAUACAUUUCUAAUGAGGAAUGAGGUGGCUGGAAAUUGCCACCAUGAGCCCCUCCAGUUGCACCAGGGCCACGACCUCUUAUGAAUCCAUUUUUAAGGUCUUCAUCGAUGGCUCGUGACCCUGUCUCCAUCCUCCCAUUCUUCUCCCAAUAUUUACCUUUCUAGAUUUCAAGGCUUUGCUCUUCUCCCUUAAAUGGUUCACAUCCUCAGAUUUAGGCCAGAAAAAAUAGGAUUUAAUUUCCUUUCCAAACUCUUGUGUGGAGCAUUUCUUGAAGAUUGCAGUAGUGCAAGGCUGGGUAUUCCCUGAAGUAGCCCUUCAUGUCGCCGUCUGACUGAGGAGUGGCAGGCUGGCAAUCCCAUCUCCUCUCCUUCCUGCUUUCCCCACCUGAGAAGAGUUGUGCAGGCUGGAGGGUGGAGCCGUGCCUCCCGCUGGCUCCGUGGGCCGCCUGGAGAGCCAGCGACCUUCCUCCGGGGCUCCUGAUAUCGAGCUGGGGAAUGAGUAAUUGGGACUCGCCAAAGUGUUUAAACACCAGAAUUGAAAUUAAUGUCCCCUCAUUGCUGGCUACGCUGACAAUACAUUACAGCAAACACCUUCCCAAAGUGAAAUGAAUGUUUGUUUAUCCUCAUGAAAUAUACAUCAAAACAUGUUGGUGGAAGAAGCCCUAAUGAGGAAAGGGGCCAGGUUUCCUGUUAAUUUCAGGCGAAUAGUUAACCGGAAGUGGAGGGUUUUUUCCCUUUCUUUUCUUUUCUUCUUCUUUUUUUUUUAGAAUAACCUGUCCACAGCUGUGUAUCUAGGACAUUAAUAUGGGUUUAAUGAAAACUCCAGUUGAUCUGUCCAAAGAUAUUGAUGAGCACUGCCCAGCCGUAUUAAUCAUCUCCUUGAGGGAGGAAAUUAAGGGAAUGGGCGAGCAGGUUUCUGUCAGAUGCCAAUCCCGAUGAAGAGAUGUGAAAAAAAAAUUUUUUUUAACCCUCCACAGCUGCAUCCAUUUCCUGGGAUGUCGGUGGGGCCAGGAGGGAAUAAGAAAGACCCAUGACAGCACAGGAAAUUCUGGGGCACAUGUAACGUUAAAUCAUUAAGCUUCUGCCAAUAAAUCCAUUACUGUUAAUUAUAUUGAGAUGGCCAACGAUCUGCUGACAAUAUUCCUUCAUUGAUUUUCAUUCGCAGUGAAUCGAUGUUCUGGCUUUAUUCUCUUUGGUGUUUUCAUGCUUUCAUAUCUUUCUCCUGCUCCUCAUCUCUUUCUCCCCAUGCCUGGCUCCCCACACGCAUCCCUCGCCCUUCCCCCUUGAGCUUUUGCUGUAAUGCAGUUCUCCUCUCGCUGGUGAUACGGUUCUCUCCCUAAGUGCCAAAUGUUUCUUGAU